AUACGGAGGGUCCAAGCGUUAUCCGGAUUUAUUGGGUUUAAAGGGUGCGCAGGCGGACCUGUCAGUCAGUGGUGAAAUCCCGGGGCUCAACCCCGGAACUGCCAUUGAUACUACAGGUCUUGAAUACGGUUGAAGUAGGCGGAAUGUAGCAUGUAGCGGUGAAAUGCAUAGAUAUGCUACAGAACACCGAUCGCGAAGGCAGCUUACUAAGCCGAUAUUGACGCUCAGGCACGAAAGCGUGGGUAGCGAACAGGAUUAGAAACCCUAGUAGUCC
rnacentral:rRNA from 1 species